CGGACCAUUAGAAAAGUGAUGGGGGGGGCAAAACCAAAAAAAAAAUUUAUUCCCAGAAAAAAAUGAAAAAAAAAAUCUUUCAAGGCAUAGUGCAAAAAAAAAAUUCCUUGCUUAGAAGAUAGGCCAAGUGGUGUACUGGAGGGAGGGCUCAGGGGAGCUGAGCCCCCUUGUUGAAAUUUCAUGUUGACUUGGGGGCUGCACGUUGGUCAAAUUUAGCAAAAUUUCUCCCACUCGUGCGGGUUCGUAUUGACAGCGGACAUCUUACAGAAAGUGGCCAGUUCUUUGAAAAAUGCAAAAGUUUCAAUUUUACACCGCAAGUCCACUGACAAUAUGAGCCUGCGAUCCUGGGAGAAAAUUUGCUGAAUGUGACCAGCGUGCUGAGCCCCCCUAUAUUAUGGCACGUUGCAUAAUUGAUAAUCUUAACAACGUGCGAAAACACACACAAAAAAAUACCAGUAAACGAGAAUGUUCUUUAGAAUUGCAUCUCAUUUUCACUCAUCAUUUAACACAAUGAUUUUUGUAAUCUUUAUAUCGCCAUUUUUGUAAUCUUUAUAUCAUUUAGUACCACUAAAUUGUAAAUUUCGACAUACUAAAACGCUGUUUUCUGACCAUCAGAAUUCUGUCAAAUCUUCCCCAAAGUCCAGGAAAUGGCAUUUCAGAGACUCUAAAUUUAAAAAUUUCCUCGGGCCUUCGGCCCUCGCUUCGGCUUGUUUUUAAUAAGAAUAACGUCAAAUGUUUGUCCCAGAAUUACUAGAAUAAACCCCAACAAAAUUUAGAAUUUCUAAAAUAUCUUAUUGUACCUCCCCUCCCCUCCCGCCAAUUCAGGGCACUUUGGAGAGCCCCCCUUGUUAACAUUCCAGGACUACACCACUAAUAGGCCUAUAAAUUUCACUUAAAGGGCCCUACAGUCAUUUUUUAGUCGAAAGCCACCUUAAGUAGGGGACUCCACGGAGAUUCGUUUGGCUGUAUCUUACAUGCAGUAUCCAUGAGUAUGAGUACUUUCGCACACAGAAAACGCAUGCAUACUGUGGUGCGCAUGUCAAGUAGCGACAAUAACAAAAAAUGUAAACAAUACUUACUUGACUAAAAAAUUACUGUAGGGCCCCUUUAAAAAAAAUAUAUUUCCAACCAUCAAGUGAGAAAAAAAAUAUAUUUCUUCUAUAGGUGUACAAAAAAAAAAUAUUGCCUCUUAGAAAAUCCCCCCCCCCCCAUCACUUUUCUAAUGGUCCGUCCCUAACGAGUACUUACUGCCGUCGCCACCCACUUCUCUUACAUGUAUAAUUUAAAUGCUUGGUUACAG
rnacentral:lncRNA from 1 species